GUGGGAGGGGGCUUGCUCCCGAUAGCUGAGUGUCAGUCAGCUAAUCUUUACCUGACACACCGCAAUCGGGGGCAAGCCCCCUCCCAC
rnacentral:misc_RNA from 1 species